ensembl:lncRNA
CACUUAUUGAUAUUAUUAUAGAGAGAAGGCAUUCGUCUAAAACUUCUAUGCUCCUUCUUCUCCCAGCACUCCUGGCGCAGAACCUGCAAUUCCCCAAAAUCGACCACAGUUCUGCAACGUUCACCUGUGGGCCACCGCUCUUCAAGGCCAACCUCUGCUGCUGUUAGGCCAUGACCAAUGGGGUAAAGACCCAUGAGAGACGGUCCCAGAGCAUCUCAACCUGAGGAGCAGUGAAGUCUCCACAGAGAGCUUCAGGGUCACCUGGGAACACUCAGGCCAAGACGUGCUCCUUUACAGACUGUUCUGGAUCCCAACCAGAGGGGGAGACACUAAAGAAGUGAAGAUGCGGAGGAAUGGUAACAUGAACACCUACAUUGAAUACAAGGAGGCAAGUUUGAAAGUGACACCAUGACCAUCAAAGUGUCAACAGUUUUCCCGGUUUUGACCAUUCUGCCUGCCCUGACCCUGCCUGCCGUCCUGUACCUUGCCCCACUACACUGGAUUAUUGACCUCUGCCUGCCCUGACCCUGAGACUGUCUGCCGUUCUGUACCUUUUGGACUCUCUGGAUUACUGACCUUUGCCUGCCCUUGACCUGUUAUUUUGCCUGGCCCCUGUCCUAGUAAUAAAAUGUUGUUACUUCGGCACUGUCUGCAUCUGGGUCUUCCCUAAAACGUGGUCAGGGUUCUAGGGGACAUUCUAGUGAAGGUUCUAGUCAGGAGGGAAAACCAACCAGAAGCCGUGAUGAUACUGAUGAGAACCAACGACUGCUACCUGGUGAAGGUCUGUAUAUCAACCUCCCUCUCUAUAUUAA